GACGAACGCUGGCGGCGUGCUUAACACAUGCAAGUCGAGCGGUAAGGCCCUUUCGGGGGUACACGAGCGGCGAACGGGUGAGUAACACGUGGGUGACCUGCCCUCAGCUCUGGGAUAAGCCCGGGAAACUGGGUCUAAUACCGGAUAUGACUUCAUGACGCAUGUUGUGGAGUGGAAAGCCUUGUGCGGCUGAGGAUGGGCCUGCGGCCUAUCAGCUUGUUGGNGGGGUGAUGGCCUACCAAGGCGACGACGGGUAGCCGGCCUGAGAGGGCGACCGGCCACACUGGGACUGAGACACGGCCCAGACUCCUACGGGAGGCAGCAGUGGGGAAUCUUGCGCAAUGGGCGAAAGCCUGACGCAGCGACGCCGCGUGAGGGAUGACGGCCU
rnacentral:rRNA from 1 species